UACGUAGGGUGCGAGCGUUGUCCGGAAUUAUUGGGCGUAAAGAGCUCGUAGGCGGUUUGUCGCGUCUGCUGUGAAAAUCCGGGGCUCAACCCCGGACUUGCAGUGGGUACGGGCAGACUAGAGUGCGGUAGGGGAGACUGGAAUUCCUGGUGUAGCGGUGAAAUGCGCAGAUAUCAGGAGGAACACCGAUGGCGAAGGCAGGUCUCUGGGCCGCUACUGACGCUGAGAAGCGAAAGCAUGGGGAGCGAACAGG
rnacentral:rRNA from 1 species